rnacentral:rRNA from 1 species
UACGUAGGGACCAAGCGUUGUCCGGAAUCAUUGGGCGUAAAGAGCGUGUAGGCGGCUUGUUAAGUCUUGCGUGAAAUCUCGGGGCUCAACCCCGAGCGGUCGUGAGAAACUGGCAGGCUAGAGUGCGGGAGAGGAGAGUGGAAUUCCUGGUGUAACGGUGAAAUGCGCAGAUAUCAGGAGGAACACCAACGGCGAAGGCAGCUCGCUGGGACGGUACUGACACUGAGGCGCGAAAGCGUGGGGAGCGAACAGG